rnacentral:rRNA from 1 species
UACGGAGGGUGCGAGCGUUGUCCGGAAUCAUUGGGCGUAAAGCGCGCGUAGGCGGCCUCACAAGUCCGCUGUGAAAGUCAAAGGCUCAACCUUUGAAAGCCAGUGGAAACUGUGAGGCUAGAGUCCGGAAGAGGCGAGUGGAAUUCCUGGUGUAGCGGUGGAAUGCGCAGAUAUCAGGAGGAACACCAACGGCGAAGGCAGCUCGCUGGGACGGUACUGACGCUGAGACGCGAAAGCGUGGGGAGCGAACAGG